rnacentral:tRNA from 1 species
GCCGCAUUCGUCUAGUGGUCCAGGACAACUGCCUCUCACGCAGUAGAUCACCAGUUCGACUCUGGUAUGCGGUACCA